UCCGCAGGUGGUUUAUCGCAUCUCCUGUUAAAUCCCAGGGCUCAACCCUGGGGCCGCAGGAGAGAUGGGUAAACUAGAGGCCGGAAGAGGCAAGCGGAAUUGCUGGUGUAGGGGUUAAAUCCGUUAAUAUCAGCAGGAACACCAAAUGCGAAGGCAGCUUGCUAAGACGCGCCUGACACUCAGGGACGAAAGCGUGGGGAGCGGAUG
rnacentral:rRNA from 1 species